rnacentral:piRNA from 1 species
UCUCAACGGAAAGCUACUUUAGGCCCAUGG